GCCAAAAUAGCUCAGUUGGGAGAGCGUUAGACUGAAGAUCUAAAGGUCCCUGGUUUGAUCCUGGGUUUUGGAA
rfam:Chlorocebus sabaeus isolate 1994-021 chromosome 13, whole genome shotgun sequence.